rnacentral:rRNA from 1 species
GACGAACGCUGGCGGCGUGCUUAACACAUGCAAGUCGAACGGAAAGGCCCUGCUUUUGUGGGGUGCUCGAGUGGCGAACGGGUGAGUAACACGUGAGUAACCUGCCCUUGACUUUGGGAUAACUUCAGGAAACUGGGGCUAAUACCGGAUAGGAGCUCCUGCUGCAUGGUGGGGGUUGGAAAGUUUCGGCGGUUGGGGAUGGACUCGCGGCUUAUCAGCUUGUUGGUGGGGUAGUGGCUUACCAAGGCUUUGACGGGUAGCCGGCCUGAGAGGGUGACCGGCCACAAUGGGACUGAGAUACGGAACAGACGACUACGGGAGGCAGCAGGGGGGAAUAUUGCACAAUGGGCGGAAGCCUGAUGCAGAAAAGCAGCGUGCGGGAUGAAGGCCUUCGGGUUGUAAAACGCUUUCGAAUGUGAAGAAGAGGGAGUGACGGUAAUGGGUAAAGAAGCACCGGCUAACUACGUG